UGGGGAAUCUUGCGCAAUGGACGAAAGUCUGACGCAGCCACGCCGCGUGAGUGAAGAAGGCCUUCGGGUUGUAAAGCUCUGUCGGGAGGGACGAACAUCCAUUGGGUUAACAGCCCAGUGGACUGACGGUACCUUCAAAGGAAGCACCGGCUAACUCUGUGCCAGCAGCCGCGGUAAUACAGAGGGUGCAAGCGUUGCUCGGAAUCAUUGGGCGUAAAGGGUAGGUAGGUGGUCUCGUUUGUCUGGGGUGAAAGCCCAGGGCUUAACCCUGGAAGUGCCCCGGAAACGGCGAGACUGGAGUACUGGAGAGGGUCGUGGAAUUCCCGGUGUAGCGGUGAAAUGCGUAGAGAUCGGGAGGAACACCAGAGGCGAAGGCGGCGACCUGGACAGUUACUGACACUCAACUACGAAAGCGUGGGGAGCAAACAGGAUUAGAUACCCCCGUAGUCC
rnacentral:rRNA from 1 species